rnacentral:rRNA from 1 species
AGGAAGCACACUUCGGUCAUAGAUUAAGCCAUGCAAGUCUUAGUUCAGGCAACGAAACUGCGAACAGCUCAUUAACACACUCAGAACCUACUUGACAGCGACCAUAAGGUCUUACAUGGAUAGCAGGAGUAAUUCUCGUGCUAAUACAUGCGAUUGUAUUGCCAGAAAUGAACUAUGGCGAUAAGGUUGACCUGCAAGGGCAAGUCAAAAGGUUGAGUGCCCUAUCAGCUAGUACUUAGGGUCUUUACCUAUGUAGGCUAUCACGGGUAACGGGCGGUAAUCGUCGGACUGCCGGAGAAGGAGCCUGAGAGACAGCUACUAUGUCUACGGACAGCAGCAGGCGCGAAAAUUACCCACUCGACAUAGUCGGAGGUGGUAAUGACCAGUUUCAAUUUGUACUUUUGUACAAGCUGAAUAGGUUUGUGCACUAAGCACACAAAGCAAUCUAGCAGAGGGCCAGUCUGGUGCCAGCAGCUGCGGUAAUUCCAGCUCUGCGAGUUUGCUCCCAUAUUGUUGCAGUUAAAACGCCCGUAGUCAGAAGUCAAAUGACUGUUCAACAGGACGUCCACCGCGAACAAAACAGGACGCUUAGAGUAGCUUUGCGGAAUGAUCUAGCGCGGCAUGGAACAUUUACCUCAUAGGUAAGGUCAAAGCGAGCCAUCGGGGGUGGUCAUAUUCAGUGACGAGCGGAGGAAUGCUCUUGACUCACUGGAGAUGAACAAAAGCGAAAGCAGCCACCUUGAGGGUCUCGGUCGAUCAAGGGCGAGAGUAGGGGUAGCGAACCGGAUUAGAGACCCGGGUAGUCCCUACUGUAAACGAUGUCGACUAGGGAUUGGUGAGAUCUAAAGCUCAUCAGCACCUUAUCGAGAAAUCAUAGUUCUUGGACUCUGGGGGAACUACGAUCGCAAGACUGAAACUUGAAGGAAUUGACGGAAGGGCACACAAGGGGUGGAGAUUGUGGCUCAAUUUGAAUCAACACGGGGAAACUUACCAGGACAAGAUGGUAUCGUGACUGACAGUCUAAAGGGCUUUCAGGAUAUGCUUUUGGGUGGUGCAUGGCCGUUGGUGGUGCGUGGGUUGACCUGUCAUUGGUUGAUUCAGAUAACGAGCGAGAUUAUCGCCAUGCACUAUGGUGCUCCAGUAUACUGGGGUGUCAUUCUACAAGGGACUGCCUGGACUAAAACAGGAGGAAGGUGGUAGCAAUAACAGGUCCGUGAUGUCCUUCAGAUGCCCUGGGCUGCACGCGCUCUACAAUGUGGGAAGCAGAGGGUAUUCGCAAACCUGAAAGGGUGAGCUACUCGUUAAUCUCUCACGUGGUUGGGAUUGACGAUUGUAAUCAUCGUCGUGAACCAGGAAUCCCUUGUAAACGUGUGUCAACAGCGCGCGUUGAAUACGUCCCUGCCCUUUGUACACACCGCCCGUCGCUCCUACCGAUUGGAUGACCUGGUGAAAAUGUCGGAUGGUUUCAAAAGGCAUUUAAAUCAUGUUAUUUAGAGGAAGGAGAAGUCGUAACAAGGUAACG